ACUCAAAUGAAUUGACGGGGGCCCGCACAAGCGGCGGAGCAUGCGGAUUAAUUCGAUGCAACGCGAAGAACCUUACCUGGGUUUGACAUGUGCGCUAAAGCAGCAGAGAUGUUGUGUCCUUCGGGGGCGUUCACAGGUGGUGCAUGGCUGUCGUCAGCUCGUGUCGUGAGAUGUUGGGUUAAGUCCCGCAACGAGCGCAACCCUUGUUCGAUGUUGCCAGCGGUUCGGCCGGGGACUCAUCGAAGACUGCCGGGGUCAACUCGGAGGAAGGUGGGGAUGACGUCAAGUCAUCAUGCCCCUUAUGUCCAGGGCUUCACGCAUGCUACAAUGGCCGGUACAAAGGGCUGCGAUACCGUGAGGUGGAGCGAAUCCCAAAAAGCCGGUCUCAGUUCGGAUCGGGGUCUGCAACUCGACCCCGUGAAGUCGGAGUCGCUAGUAAUCGCAGAUCAGCAACGCUGCGGUGAAUACGUUCCCGGGCCUUGCACACACCGCCCGU
rnacentral:rRNA from 1 species